rnacentral:rRNA from 1 species
UACGUAGGGUGCGAGCGUUAAUCGGAAUUACUGGGCGUAAAGCGUGCGCAGGCGGUGAUGUAAGACAGAUGUGAAAUCCCCGGGCUCAACCUGGGAACUGCAUUUGUGACUGCAUCGCUGGAGUGCGGCAGAGGGGGAUGGAAUUCUCGGUGUAGCGGUGAAAUGCGUAGAUAUCGAGAGGAACACCUGCGGCGAAGGCGGGUUGCUGGGCUGAUACUGACGCUGAGGCGCGAAAGCCAGGGGAGCGAACAGG